UCGGUUACCAUGACAACGUCAGCCCGACAAAACUGCGCCGGGCCACGCAGAAGUUCCAGCAGAAGGCUCCGUACCAAGCAAAGCAGAAGAAAUCCAAGUCGGCCGAAUUUCUGAUGGGGGAAGAGGAGAGAGCAGCCGCCGAAGGCACCGACAAGCCCGCUCCGAGUGGUGCCUGCGCCCGGGAAGGAGGAGCGAUGCGACGUGACGUGCCGAGCGGCACCCUUGCAGCUGGCGGGGCGGAGGCGGAGCGGCGACUCUCGGCCGCGGCGAGAGGUGAAACCUCAGCGCUCGUUACGCUCAAGUGCGGCGACGGCGCUCGCGUGCCCCGUCUCGCCCCUUCCCGCAUCCCCGGCCCGCGCGCCCUGGCCGGUCUCUCGGGCAGAGCAAUGCGGCGCGCGCCUUCCGUACCCCCCCAGCCCCAUCCCCGUGACAUAAUGCUUCUUACAUUUUGUUGUUGCGUAGCAGAUGCUUAUGACACACGGUGCUCGACCGGCGUCGCAGCCGCGCGGGACAGGCCCCUCUCUCCGCAUCACGACAGCGCGAUGUCCUCUCCGGCGGGGCGUCACCCGGCAACCGUCACGUCGGCGGCGACUCCCCCUCGCUGCCCGACAGGUGACGUCGCACGGCGUGCGCGCUACGCCGGGUGCGGCGCGCGGAACCUGAGCCGUCGACGGGCGCGAGAACGAGCGGCUCGAGAGCUUCGCUCCGUCCCGGAUGGGCGAGGUUUCCGGCGCGGAGACGACGGAGCGAAGGACGGGACGAGGCGGGAGACGGGAAAACGAUCUGUUUGAAAUGCCUAGUGGUUACAGCUCCUGUCUCUGGAUCGGAAGGUUGUAGGUUUGGUCCCCACCUCUGGAUGUAGUACCUUUGAGCAAUGUACUUACCCUACAUUGCUCCAGUGAAAUUACCUUCCUGUAUAAAUGGGUAAAUAAUUGUGGCUUUGGAGAAAAGUGUCAGCUAAACAAAUCAACGUAAAUGAUGUUGUCACUUACCUUCGGCGAAUGAGAGAAGGACGGUGGUGCUGCGGUCGCACGGGGCCCCCGCUCUGGCAACCUUCGUCUUCAGCACGAGGGCUCCUCGGUUGUAUGGGAGAAGCUGCAAAACGCUGCACUGCGUUCGUUGUUAGGCGUGGUCUUCUUUUCCCGAGGACCGAAUAUGUACACUGGACCGUUUAGUAAACACGGUAAAGUCACUAAUAUAGAACCGCCGAAGAACAGUUGAGGCCGAAAUGACAUCGUUGUUCUUUCUUUUUUGUUGAGCUGAAAUAUUUCAAAUUUUAUAGUUUUUAAUACACACACAUUUUCAGAACCGCUUGUCCCAUACGGGGUCACGGAGCCUAACCCGGUAACACAGGGCGUAAGGCCGGAGGGGGAGGGGACACACCCAGUACGGGAUGCCAGUCCGUCGCAAGGCACCCCAAGCGGGACUCGAACCCCAGACCCACCGGAGAGCAGGACUGUGGUCCAACCCACUGCACCACCGCACCCCCUCAGUUUUCAAUAGUUAUUGAAAUAUUUUACUGUUCAGAAUUUCACCUGAUAUUAUCACCGAGUGUCUGUUUCAAUAUUACUGGUGAAAUCAUGAGGAAGAGGAGAUGUUAUAGCACAGCACUUGUGGAAGAGUCAGAUUCUUGGAGCAGAUGGAGCACGUGACUCAGUGUGGGCAUCUUUAUGAAAUGUGUGUGUGUGUGCGUGUGUGAGGAAGACUUAUUUCAUUCUUGCAAAAUGAGAAUGCAGUUGAAGUCUUCCUCACACACAGUUUAUAAAACGACUACUACGUCACUACAUCAAACUAGCAUAAGCUUGUGAAUUAUAAAAAUAAUAUUUCUCAACGAAACUGGAAUCCAAAAAAAAAAAAAAAAAACACUUGACAAUUUCAUUGUUCUGGUGGCUUAAUGUACAAAUGAAAAGUUGCACCAACACAGAAAUGAAAACCCCUUCAGCUCCACCAUUUCUUACCCCAGUAAAUGUUCUAAAAGGUGUAAAACUAUUCAUUUUGUGAAACAAACUUAGAAAUGUGUCCAUUUUUUAUUAUUCUUUUUAGGGUUCUAUAUAUAUAUAUAUAUAAGAAUGAAUAGUAAUAUACAUAAUGAAUGAAUGUGUAUAUAUAUAUAUAUAUAUAUAUAUAUAUAUAGAUAGAUCCCCACUCAAUCCCCACUGUCUAUGUGGAGUUUGAAUGUUCUCCCCAUGUCUGCAUGGGUUUCCUCUGGGUGCUCUGGUUUCCUCCCACAGUCCAAAGACAUGCUGUUCAGGUUCACCCAUAGUGUGUGUGUUCCCCUGAUGUAUGGUUGAGUGACCCAGUGUAAGUAGAGUGUCUAGCAGUGUAAAUCACCGUAGUGAAUAAUGUGUGUGGGCUGAUAACACUACCCAGAGUUUAUUGGAAGUUGCUUUAGAGAAAAGUGUCCGAUAGAUAAAUAAAUAAAUGUAUAUAUUCA
ensembl:lncRNA